CCUUGACUUCAGCUAAUGACCACGUUGUCUUGAAGGAGGAGUGAUGCCUCUCCCAAGUUUCUCUGCUAGCGUCGUGAGAGAACUGAUCUGUGAGCUAUUCAGUGGUUACUUAUAUCAUUCUUGUGUUUCCAGCCAUGUGACUUGACCGCAAGGCUUUCAGAAGGUAAUCUGGGGAGAUUUUAUCAAAUGUAAAAUGUUCCUAGACAUUACUGUAGCCAUGAUGUAAUGAACCAAGGUUUUGUUCUUUAAAUUCCACUUUGCUGAAAAACCACAGGCCCCAAAAAAUUGUUCUAGAGAAGCUAGGGAGUUUUAAGAAGGAGGCUGAGAUCUUGUGCUGGGCUGAGCCAUUCUGUGCUGCAGUGCUAGGAGAAAGAGUUUCCGACUGAGUACUGUGUCGCUGGCUUGGUAAGGUCCAGACGGAACCUCUGAUACGGACAACAGCCUCUUCACAACAACCACUCCCUCCUUUCUGCCACUGAGGUGGGAGGUGUAGCCAGAGGAAACGCAGCACGGCCAGGCCUGCAUUGUACCUCACUACUCCGAGUUUGUUGCGUGUUUGGCGCUUUGGUAUUUGUUGUAAUUGUGGCUGUUGCUCUUUUUUGUGAAGACAAUUCCAGCCCAAAAUCUUGCCUCAAAAAAAGCCAAAAACGUGAUCCCCUCACGUAACACUGCUUUCUUAGUAUCACCCAUGCUGGAGCUGAGAACCUAGUUUGCAGUAUCUCAGUGCUUUGAAAGACCUUUAAAACCCUUUUUAGAAGGACAAUGAUUUCUGAGUCUGCGAAAGUCUUCCUGGCAUAUUUAUAUCUGCCAGACCAGGAUGAGACUGUCCAUGCUUUGAUGCUUUGGAUUUCAGUACCUGUUGAAAUCCCCUGAACAAAUGGUGCUAUUAAUUACGGGGCCUGGCUUUGAUGAAUGAUGCAUAGGGGACAACAUUUCAUUUUGUCCAGGGGGAGGUAAGCGGGACGGGGCGUUUCUGAGUGUUCAGUGAUGCAGGAGAGGUCCUGGGUGUUGCCUGAUCAAGGGGAAGUUGCUUCCUCUCUCUAGAGUGCUGUAAAGUCAGUGUCAAGUCACUGUGGCAUCUGGGUUAUGUCACCUUCUGAUGGGGCUACCUCUUCAGACGUCAGAUUUGCUCAGACAGAAACCAACUCAGUCCUUUACCUAAAAAAACUUUCAGAAUUACUCUAAGGGUUACAAAUAAUUUUGUCCUAAAUGGCUUCUGCCUGCCCGAAGGACUGCCCCGUCCCCAGGCCAUUUUAACACCGGAGCAAUGUGUUUGGGGCUCAGAUAAGUGAGACGGGGGGAGGCCGUGGGGUGUUCUCAGGGAGGGCCCCAGGAUCUUACCACCAUUUCUUUCCCCACAUCCUUUUGAAACUCCCAAAUCGGUGAACAGGAGUCUUGCAAAAGCUGUUUCUAUGACAAGAUUAUAAGAAAGGUUUGUUCCUGAAGUGGUGAAAAAAGCUUUUUCCGCAGCUUUGAUUUAGUAGCUAGCCAAGUUCAUUUCUUAUUUGUGUGUAUCAUUGUGUUUUGGUGCUGGGAAGUCAUGUUUAUGCCAAAAAAUUGAAUUAGUUUUUGGAGCACCUGAAACUUCUGUACACCACUUGUCAUUUCAGUCUAAUUAAUUACAGCCAUCUGAGAACAUCUCUAGCUGGUUUUCACAAAGGGGCUUCUGGACGAGGUAAUGCAGUGUUAGAAAACUUUGCUGGACAGGAGGGUUGCUCUCGGUAGCAGGACUACUAGGUAGUAGGUUUGUGAGAUACCACUUGACGUGACUGGUGGAAAAUGAGACCAUUCAAAAGGGAGAGGAGGAGAAGGGAAGUCAGAAGACGGUGCCAUUGAAACUAAGAAUAAUGGGAGGAGAGUAUUCACUCCGUUUAAAGCACCCAAAAUGACAAGGAACAAAUGGGAGUGCAUGAUGUUCUCUUGUUGUUGUGGCGAAGACGAGCCUUAGCAAAGACAGAAGGCGUCAUUGCUUUUAACCGAGUUUAGGUGUUUACACUGUAGAUGUUUACAUGAUUUGGUCAUCCAUAUUCCAGUUGCGUGAUUCACUUCAGGAUAAUCUGAGUCGCACCUUGGAAAUUUCUUUUUCUUAUUAUUGAUUGUAAAGGUUUCCAAAUGAUACCGGCUCCAGCGAAGAAACCUAUACUGCAUCCAUCUGCCUUUGUCAGAAUUAGACCCAAGGUGUCAGGGAAAGAGAGUAAGUGUCAGGAUUCGCGUGAGGGAGACCUCACUGCAGUAAUAGGGCAAAAGCUUGUUCAACAGAUCUGCAGGUACAGGGAAGAAGUAAGUUUCGGGAAGGCAGGUAGAUCUCAGCUGGAGAAGCAAAGGCACAUUCGGGGAAGGAGAAGUUCAAGGGUGAAGGUCAAGGAACAGAAAAUGCACAAUAGGAGAACAGAACUGGGAAAGAGAAACUGUUUUCAUGUCUGUUCUAGUUUAGAACAAGCACUUGGUUAUUCAAAACUAGAAAAAGAAGUUCAAUCACCCCAGAAUAAACCAGUGCUGAUGACAUGUGGCUGCGAGAUGGGAAACCGAAGCUCAGGUCUCUACCUUAUUCAUAUCAUGGACUAGGACCAGAGUCUCCCACACUGGGUCCGAGCGUACCAGCUCAGGUACAAUGGACGGCUGGGAGGGGCUUUUGUAGCUUGUCCUCCCGGAAGCAUUCCGGUUUGUACACAUGAUAAAAUACUUGUAAGUAACGUGAAACUCUGGGUACCUCACAUUACACACAGUAACCCUAAAAACAACAUGUGGAGUGGCAGAAGACAUUCCAUGCAGGUCUUGAGAAUGUACUCUUUUUGAAACUCUUACAUUCUUUUUGUGAGAAAUUUCAGUUUAACAUAAUUGACUUUCCCAAUGAAAUCACACUGAAAAAUUUCCCGAACAGCUCUCAUAAGGAGGCUUUGGAGUCAGGAGGACCAGAAGAACCCUUCACGUAAUAAGUUUAAAACAAAUAAGAGGAAAUAAGUUGUGACAUGAGUGGCUAAAUAGAUUGCAGAAGUCAUUGCCAAGGAAUACAAUGGCCAAAGGCACAAAUAUGUUCAAAGAACAUUUAGAUAUGAAAAUGGAGGGUGGCUCCGUUGAUGGCCAUGUUAGCCACCUGAUGUAGGAAGUCUUUAAGCAGAUUACUAAAAUGAUAGCCAGGUAUAACAGGGAAAGAGCAGUCACAGGAGGACCUGGGGUUUGUACUCUCCCUUAAGCAGUCUGCCCGUGCCUUCUGGUAGAGAUCAGGCACUGAGCGAGAUUGAUUUUUGGUCUGACCCCGGUAUGGCAUUUCUUACGCUUGUUCUAAGUACUUCUGCAUCUUCUUGCCCUUGUGACGGUACCGGAAGAAUACACUGGGUUUUGGUCAGCGUAGUGCGUAUGCCUGCUUUUGUGUCCUGUCUGCGUACGUCGGCCUGUGGGAUAUGUCUGUGAUGCAGCUACGUUUUAGUGGUCAGACACCGUUUACUACAAACACGUAAGAUUAAGAGGAUCUUAACCCCUGUGCCUUGUGUUUCACAGGGUGUGCGAAGGCCCAAACCAGGCAAUCUUGCCUUUGUUGGUGCUGCCCCAAUUCCAAAAAUACAGAGCAGGGCAUAAAUUCCAGAAAUGGGUUUUCCAAAUGGACUGCAAAGCUGAGAAUUAAACACAAGUGUGAACCCUCUUCCAGCUCCUUCUGUCAUUUGGGCAUGCUCGUGCCACGUGUCAGUACAAACUGUUGAGCCAUCUGGAAUGGGUUUAUGUGAGUCCGUGGGGUUUAGAUCAUUUUGCGUGGGAAAUCCCUCAGUACUCCGCUCAUUUCACUGACAGGCAGCUCAUGCCUCCGCAUGACAAAAUAGAGACAGACCCUUUGCAAAGCAUAAUGGAGGAGGAUGUUCUGACUGUGAUCCAAAAUUCUUCUCACAAUAACAUCAUCUGACUCGUUUAGCCCUCCAGAUGGGGCGGGCUCUUACGUCUGGCACAGAGAUAUCAUGUAUAAACAUCUAGAAACCAUUUUUUUAUUAGUUCAAGGCAAAACCUGCUCCCAUCCUCCUCGGUUUUACCUGUGUUUAAUUCCAGUGAUCCAGUUUCUGCAUGGCGUUAACCGUCACCACACUUGAGUCUACCCAGCUGAGGAUCCAUUCCAUACCCUUCAGCUGAAAGACGCCUGACUUAGCAGGAAAAGUUCCUCCGUCUGGUUCAGCGCGUGGUCGCACAGAGUUUUCCUGGCACAACUGAGUGGAAAGAGCACUUUGGCUUGGAGGGGAAAUGAGCAGCGGAGGGUGAAAGGUGUCUUGGCAUACACUCCAGUUCGUGUCCUUAUCUCACAGUCUCCAGCCGUCUUCAAAGGCUUUUCCAGCUUCUUGUGUUGUGCGAGUUCAAAAACCUGCAGCCCGCUGGUAUUGAAAAUGUGCGAAUGAACAAAAUAAUUGGAGUUGAAUGACAGUCUUUUUCUUCCGACUUGGAAAUCUGCUAGUUCGCUGCUGCUUUUCUUAAAGAUGAUCAUUGGCUGGUUAUGGAGUGAAUUGCUAAUGAAAUAGUCGGUUACGCUUACAUUUUUAAAAAAGAGAUGUGAGUCUGGGGAGACCCAAGGAAUUCUUCUCAAGUGAGAAACAGAUCCUCAUUGAAAUGGACGCCAGGGAGUUGGUCAGAUGAUCGGGGCAUUCUGGUACUCUGUAAAGGCAAGGAAAGAUGAGGGUAGAGCAAAAGAAGAUAAGAGUAGGUAAGCACCAGUAUCACAUACAACCUCGUAAAUGUGAAAUUUAAGCAGGCAAAUCUCCUUGCUUUUGAGUGAUCCCAUUCUUUGGAAGGAUUGUAACCUGCAAGGCACCAGGCAUAAGGUGUUGAGGGUGGGGGUAAAUACAUUAAUAGAAAGGGUUACAGAAGUGAUGACAUCAUGAAAUAGAUGGGGAAAGAGUUCCCGAGUGAAAAUUAAAUGAAGUCCAACAUGAACCAGUCUUCACUGUGGUUGGCAAAAUGUAAAGACAUAGAGAAUUAAAGAGACAUUGCUGGAUCAAGGAGUGCAUGUGCUUCCUUUCAGCUGCAAGUUAUUCCACGGGCUUU